rnacentral:rRNA from 1 species
ACAGGGUGACAGGUGGUGCAUGGUUGUCGUCAGCUCGUGUCGUGAGAUGUUCGGUUAAGUCCGCUAACGAGCGCAACCCUCGCCGUAUGUUACAAGUGUCAUACGGGACUGCCGGUAAAAAGCCGGAGGAAGGUGAGGAUGAUGUCAAGUCAGCAUGACCUUUAUAUCCAGGGCUACACACACGCUACAAUGGUCUGUACAAUUGGUUGCCAAGCCGCGAGGCGGAGCCAAUCCGUAAAGCAGGCCUCAGUUCAGAUUGCAGUCUGCAACUCGACUGCAUGAAGCCGGAGUUGCUAGUAACCGCAGGUCAGCAAUACUGCGGUGAAUACGUUCCCGGGUCUU